rnacentral:rRNA from 1 species
UAGGGAAUCUUCGGCAAUGGGGGGAACCCUGACCGAGCAACCCCGCGUGAGUGAAGAAGGUUUUCGGAUCGUAAAGCUCUGUUGUUAAGGAAGAACGAGUGUGAGAAUGGAAAGUUCAUACUGUGACGGUACUUAACCAGAAAGGGACGGCUAACUACGUGCCAGCAGCCGCGGUAAUACGUAGGUCCCGAGCGUUGUCCGGAUUUAUUGGGCGUAAAGCGAGCGCAGGCGGUUAGAAAAGUCUGAAGUGAAAGGCAGUGGCUCAACCAUUGUAGGCUUUGGAAACUGUUUAACUUGAGUGCAGAAGGGGAGAGUGGAAUUCCAUGUGUAGCGGUGAAAUGCGUAGAUAUAUGGAGGAACACCGGUGGCGAAAGCGGCUCUCUGGUCUGUAACUGACGCUGAGGCUCGAAAGCGUGGGGAGCGAACAGG